UAGCUCAACGAAUUAACCAGAGUGACCGACAUAGCUGCCGACCGGCCACGUCUGCCGUAGGACUGAUGGCCGCUGGAGCAGACGUGUUCUGGAGUGAGACUGCGUAUCAGCAAGCGCAGUGUGGGACGACCUCCAACCCGCUGGACUGAC